rnacentral:lncRNA from 1 species
CUCGUCAUUUACUUUACGUCCCUUUGCCGCUUGCCAGUUUCGCAUCUCCCCAGCGUGGUCCACUGUCCCGCUGACGAUUUGCUUGAGUUUUUUCCAAUAGAGAGAGGGCGACGAUUCAGCUCGUAAUUCUUCUCCAACUCGAGUAUAACCUGGUAAUACUCCUCCACCAUUUGAAAGCUUUCCGACUGCAAAUCUUUCAGCACAGAAAUUUGUUUCAGAACGGGAGCUGACAGCGCUUGAACAGUAUACCACAAAUGCUGCUUUUGGUUGUCUGAUGUUUGACUUGGAACGAUUUAACUCGACUGACGUGUUUUCCACUAGAAACUUUGAAGUCAUAAAAUAUGUGAAAAUCUGAAACCAUUUGGCCUUCAAUAUGAUACAAUUUCGAUAUUUU